rnacentral:rRNA from 1 species
UACGGAGGAUGCGAGCGUUAUCCGGAUUUAUUGGGUUUAAAGGGUGCGUAGGCGGGAUGCCAAGUCGGCGGUAAAAAUGCGGUGCUCAACGCCGUCGAGCCGUUGAAACUGGCGUUCUUGAGUGGGCGAGAAGUAUGCGGAAUGCGUGGUGUAGCGGUGAAAUGCAUAGAUAUCACGCAGAACUCCGAUUGCGAAGGCAGCAUACCGGCGCCCUACUGACGCUGAGGCACGAAAGCGUGGGUAUCGAACAGG